GCAUCAAUAAACCCCUGAGUUUGUUUGUAUCAACUUCUAUGCUCUUAAUCUAUAUCUAUAGAUCUAUAGAUAGAUAGAUAGAUAGACCUUUAUAAAGCAUGUCCCAUGUUUAGAAAUGUAAUUUCACCUACAAUUUUUAAGAUGGCAUGUGAAGGGUUCAUUCAAAUCCUAAAUUAUUUGCCCUUUUCUUCCAUUCUUGCCCUUGUUCACCCUACAUCAGCGAACAUAAGUAUUGAAAUUGGACUCCUCGCAUCACUGAAAUGUUGCAUGAUUGAGACUCUAUCAUCAGUUACAAAUACUGAGUUUAAUUCUUUAAUUUUUAUCAUGGAGUGUGUAAUCAAUUUCAUAAUUGAAUGCCCAUUCAAUUUUCGCAUUGAAUGCAAUUGAAGACGUGGGUUGAAUCCCAUUUAACCCUUUCAUCUAUAGAAUUCUAGAACCCUUCCUAUGUAUCACUUCUGUAUCAGUGACUUGAACUGUCCAUUAUCAAGCACAAAUCAUCCGGUCUUUGAGAUGCGUAUUACUAGGGUUUAGAAUGUUCACCUGGCCGGAAAAUUAUGCCACUGUUUCGUUGGCCACUGGUGCUGUUGCUUCCCUGUCGGUCUCACCAGGUUUCAAUGUAGGUCAAAGAGAUAUGGGUGUCGCCACAAAACCUUGCGACGAUACAGGGAAAACCUAAUUUGAUAGUUUCGCAACACAUAUGGUGUGGUUCUGGUUCAUGUAGUGUAGUGGCUGGUAGGUUGUUUAAAGGAUUACAUUGCCUGCAUCUAACAUCUUUAGAUCUAUACUACUGUCGAAACAUCACCGACCGAGCGAUGUACGCGUUGGCACAUAUUCGAGUGAAAAACAGGAACCAAAUGUGGGAUGGGGUUAAAACCGGGGAUGAGGAUGAAAACAGGCUUAUGAGUCUCAACAUCAGUCAAUGCACUGCUUUAACACCGCCAGCGGUUCAGGCUCUAUGUGAUUCAUUUCCAGCGCUUCAUACAUGCCCGGGUAGGCGUUCACUUAUCAUAAGUGGUUGUUUGAAUCCAAAUUCAAUUCCUUGUGCAUGCGCUUUCCAAGCGCAUCAUGAGGUUAACACACUUACUCAUCAUGCUUAUUGAAAAUCAGGGGCGGUCAAGUGGUUAGAUCGGUUUGGUUCUUCAUGUUUUGAGUUUAGGUAUUAGAACCAGUACCAGACAUGUAAUUGGACCCAUGUAAUUAGGAGAAUGUGUAAUUUUAUCUUUCAUUAUUGUUUUUUA